UAGGCGGAAGCCAGUCGGUUUUGGCGCUUAGCUGUUAACUAAGAUUGUUGUGGGAUCGAGGCCCACCCGCUUAG
rnacentral:tRNA from 1 species